AACGAACGCUGGCGGCGCGCUUAACACAUGCAAGUCGAACGAGAAGGCGUAGCAAUACGCUUGUAAAGUGGCGAACGGGUGAGGAAUACAUGGGUAACCUACCCUCGAGUGGGGGAUAACCCCGCCGAAAGGCGGGCUAAUACCGCGUACGCUUCCGAUCUCGCGGGAUCGGAAGGAAAGCUGUCCCAAAGGGGAUGGCGCUCAAGGAUGGGCUCAUGUCCUAUCAGCUUGUUGGUAGGGUAACGGCCACCAAGGCAUCGACGGGUAGCUGGUCUGAGAGGACGAUCAGCCACACUGGCACUGCGACACGGGCCAGACUCCUACGGGAGGCAGCAGUGAGGAAUAUUGCGCAAUGGGCGAAAGCCUGACGCAGCGACGCCGCGUGGGGAUGAAGGUCUUCGGAUUGUAAACCCCUUUCGGGAGGGAAGACGGCCUUAGACAACUAUGGCGGACGGUACCUCCAGAAGCAGCCACGGCUAACUUCGUGCCAGCAGCCGCAGUAA
rnacentral:rRNA from 1 species